rnacentral:rRNA from 1 species
ACGGCUUAGAGUUUGAUCCUGGCUCAGAUUGAACGCUGGCGGCAGGCCUAACACAUGCAAGUCGAGCGGUAGAGAGAAGCUUGCUUCUCUUGAGAGCGGCGGACGGGUGAGUAAUGCCUAGGAAUCUGCCUGGUAGUGGGGGAUAACGUUCGGAAACGGACGCUAAUACCGCAUACGUCCUACGGGAGAAAGCAGGGGACCUUCGGGCCUUGCGCUAUCAGAUGAGCCUAGGUCGGAUUAGCUAGUUGGUGGGGUAAUGGCUCACCAAGGCGACGAUCCGUAACUGGUCUGAGAGGAUGAUCAGUCACACUGGAACUGAGACACGGUCCAGACUCCUACGGGAGGCAGCAGUGGGGAAUAUUGGACAAUGGGCGAAAGCCUGAUCCAACCAUGCCGCGUGUGUGAAGAAGGUCUUCGGAUUGUAAAGCACUUUAAGUUGGGAGGAAGGGCCGUUACCUAAUACGUGAUGGUUUUGACGUUACCGACAGAAUAAGCACCGGCUAACUCUGUGCCAGCAGCCGCGGUAAUACAGAGGGUGCAGGCGUUAAUCGGAAUUACUGGGCGUAAAGCGCGCGUAGGUGGUUUGUUAAGUUGGAUGUGAAAUCCCCGGGCUCAACCUGGGAGCUGCAUUCAAAACUGACUGACUAGAGUAUGGUAGAGGGUGGUGGAAUUUCCUGUGUAGCGGUGAAAUGCGUAGAUAUAGGAAGGAACACCAGUGGCGAAGACGACCCCCUGGACUGAUACUGACACUGAGGUGCGAAAGCGUGGGGAGCAAACAGGAUUAGAUACCCUGGUAGUCCACCCC